rnacentral:rRNA from 1 species
UGGGAACGUGCCCAAAGGUACGGAACAACUCCGGGAAACUGGAGCUAAUACCGUAUGUGCCCGAAAGGGGAAAGAUUCAUCGCCUUUGGAUCGGCCCGCGUCUGAUUAGCUAGUUGGCGGGGUAAUGGCCCACCAAGGCGACGAUCAGUAGCUGGUCUGAGAGGAUGACCAGCCACACUGGGACUGAGACACGGCCCAGACUCCUACGGGAGCAG